CACACCACAACACAAACAUGCCCAUUCUCAGCAAAAAUUUAAAAAAAAUACUCUGGUCUGAGACCUACAACAAGCCACAACAACAAAACGAAAAACAGAGAGAACUCAGAGAAGGGAAGGCGAAAAGGGAAAAGAAAAGAAAAAAAAAAAUUCUUCUCUGCGAGAGGCGAGGAAGAGAGAGUGAGAGUUUGAGAGACUUACCGGCGGCGAGAAGGAGGAGGAGCUUUUGUCGUGGGUCUGUGACGGCAAGUUUACCAAAAACUCUCCGGUGACUACUCUCACACGCCUCUUUGCUUGAUCGACAAUGGAUGAGUUACCUAAACUUAGAUUGGAAAUUAAGAAGUUAAAGCAGAAAAUUGAAGAAGAAGACUUGCAGAUAGAUUUGGAAAAGGUUUUUGUCAACAGUGUUCUUCUUGAGAAACAAAAUCGGAGAGUGGAAGCAUAUCGGAAAGUGCACAAUAUCCCACACAAGGAUAUUAAGCUGGAGGACCCGGGUGAACUUCUUUUGCUGUGCGCACAGAAGCAUCCAAAACUUCCUACAGAUUGUCCAGAUAGCCUAGCAAUGUUGAGCUAUCUGGUACUUGCAGGAGUGGAUUUUGCUUUGAUCCACGAUUCUCACGCCCUCCAAGAUUUGGUACCAUAUGUACAGUAUGGUCCUUUCAUUGCCUUUCAUGGUGAUAAAGGGGGAGCUCUUCAAACGUUGAUCGAAGAAAAAAUUAUAGAUUUAGACAAUGGACUUGAAGAGUCAUCUUCCAUCAAUUUGAAGAUUGGUACGGAAAUAGUUCGUGGAGAGCUAGCAAAUGCAUUGACCAAAGAAUUAAAGAAUAUGGGCUUGGCCAACAAAAAAAGGAGUGCAUCUGCCAUGCAAAAGGCCAACCAGCUUAGAUGCACUAUUCCUUGGGCAUGCACUAUUUGUUUUACAUGUUCUCCCGGAAGGGUAAGUUCUAUUUGCGAAGCUGAAUGGAUAUCCCAACCUUGUCAACUACACUGUAACUCAUGGUCAAGAGGUCUUGAAUGUAGAACCACGAUUAAUGUCAGAGAUUUCAUCAUCGAGAUCGAGGCCUUCAAAAUUGUUCAAAAAUUAUCAGUUGCGUUACUUCACCAACUUGGAUAAAAAAGAGUUGAUUGGUUGUGGAGCUUUUGGAAAUGUUUACAGAGGAUGUAUGUGGGGUUUAAAAAAUCCCAUAAUCAAUAGCAAGCUAAUUGCUGUGAAAGUUUUUCAUCACAACCUUGGAGAAUUAUUCAAGCAGUGGCAGGCUGAGAUUCGGUUCGGUUCAACUCUUCAACAUAAAAAUUUUAUUAAGAUUUUGGGUCACUACAAAGAUGAGGAGAAGCUAUACUUAGUUUAUGAAUAUAUGAAGAGGGGACACCUUGGCCGGUGCUAUGAGGUUCUUGAUUGGGCUGAGAUGAUAAAGAUUGCACGAGGGAUAGCAUUGGCAGUCGAAUACAUGCACAAGCUGGAUCCACCUCUCACCAAUCAUGAUCUCAAACUAAAUAAUAUACUUCUAGAUGAGGAUCAGCCACAAUAAAAACUGACAUGCACAAUGUUGGAGUGAUUUUACUGCUGCUUAUUACAAAACAGCCAUACAUGGAGAAACAAAUCUUAAUUGGCGACAGGGCAAUGAAAAAAUUCAAAGAAGGCAAAGAAUGCGGGAUAGUUGUUCAUGAGACAUUGAAAGAGACAGGAUGCAAUGAAGAGAGGGCAACAUUGAUAAUAAAAACUGCAUUGCAAUGUUUAGACUUUUCAGAUGCACGGCCAAGCAUAGGUCAAGUGGUUCAAAUUUUACACGAUCUGUAGAUAAUAAUUUCUGGGAGACAACUGUGAACAGCCCUAGCCCAAGCAUAUCUGUUUCUUU